UACGUAGGGGCCAAGCGUUGUCCGGAUUUAUUGGGCGUAAAGAGCUCGUAGGCGGUUGGGUAAGUCGGGUGUGAAAACUCCAGGCUCAACUUGGAGAUGCCACCCGAUACUGCUCUGACUUGAGUUCGGUAGGGGAGUGGGGAAUUCCUGGUGUAGCGGUGAAAUGCGCAGAUAUCAGGGGGAACACCGGUGGCGAAGGCGCCACUCUGGGCCGAAACUGACGCUGAGGAGCGAAAGCGUGGGUAGCAAACAGG
rnacentral:rRNA from 1 species